UUCUGAAAAACUGCAGCACAUUUGCAAAAUGAAGAUAAAUGAUAAGACUAAAAUUGUCUAAAAUAAUAACUAAAUUUGUGUGUAAAAACCACUAGAAUUAUAAUUUGUAAUAAUAGCAUUUGUCAGAAAUACAAGAAAAAUUGAAGUCCAUUCAAAACAUGCACCAGAAAAGAUCACACCAGUCCUCGAACAUUAUUGCUAGGCAAUGACUGUUAUACUAACAUCUGUGAAUUAGUAGAAACAAUAGUGUCAAAUAAAACUUCCUAAUUUAAAAACUGAUGGUCAGAUAUGGAUAAUUCUUACAUAGUUUUGUUUCUUGACAUUCAACAAUCACAUAGUAACAAGAAUAAAUCACAAAAUUUGAAAAAUUCAUGCAAUACUAGACAAAAAUUGCAGCACCACAAAGACCAUCUUUACUGUUUUAGGAAAUGGAAGAGAUUCUUGCAUACAUGGCAAACACAAUACCAUGAAUGGGAACUUUUUGAAUGCUCUUUAUAGUUAAGCUUCCAUAUUGCAUAUGGGAUAUGCUAUAUCUUAUGGUGGCCACUUUUACAGUCCAUCACAGGCUGAUCAACACCUAUGAUGGGAUCACUUAGAAGAUUAAAGACAAGGUUCAAUGAGUCAAUGAGCUGAAUCCAAUCCUUCUUGAAAAACUGUAGUUAACUGUAAAACCAUAAACUAUUUUUAUUGUUACACUUUUAUGACACACUGUCUAACAGUGAUGAUCAACCUUUUUUGUUAUGUGAGCUACUUUUCUAUACUAAGUUAUUUAGCAAUCUAUUCUCUUAUAUGGAUCACGUUCCCCCAAUCCAAGGAGCUUGCCCCAACCUGAU
rnacentral:lncRNA from 1 species